rnacentral:tRNA from 1 species
CUAAAGCAUCUCGCUUACACCGAGAAGACACCUGUGAAAACCAGAUUAUUUCGA